UGCAGAUUUCCAAAGAAUAGCAAGGAGAGACAAGGGGGGCUUCUUAAAUAAGCAGUGCAAAGAAAUAGAGGAAAACAAUCGAAUGGGAAAAACCAGAGAUCUGUUCAAGAAAAUUGGAGAUAUGAAAGGAACAUUUCAUGCAAAGAUUACCACAAUAAAGGACAAAAGUGGUAAGGACCUAACAGAAGCAGAAGACAUCAAGAAGAGGUGGCAAGAAUACACAGAAGAAUUAUACCAGAAAGAUAUGGAUGUCUCGCACACCCCAGGUAGUGUGGUUGCUGACCUUGAGCCAGACAUUUUGGAUAGUGAAGUCAAAUGGGCCUUAGGAAGCACUGCUAAUAACAAGGCCAGUGGAAGUGAUGACAUUCUAGCUGAACUAUUUAAAAUGGUAAAAGAUGAUGCUGUUAAGGUGCUACACUCAAUAUGCCAGCAAGUUUGGAAAACUCAGCAGUGGCCAGAGGACUGGAGAAGAUCAGUCUACAUCCCAAUCUCAAAGAAGGGCAGUGCCAAAGAAUGCUCCAACUACCGCACAAUUGCACUCAUUUCACACGCUAGCAAGGUUAUGCUUAAAAUUCUACAAGGCAGGCUUAAGCAGUAUGUGGACAGAGAACUCCCAGAAGUGCAAGCUGGAUUUCGAAGGGGCAGAGGAACCAGAGACCAAAUUGCAAACAUGCGCUGGAUUAUGGAGAAAGCUAGAGAGUUCCAGAAAAACAUCUACUUCUGCUUCAUUGAUUGCGCAAAAGCCUUUGACUGUGUCAACCACAGCAAACUAUGGCAAGUUCUUAAAGAAAUGGGAGUGCCUGAUCACCUCAUCUGUCUCCUGAGAAAUCUCUAUGUGGGACAAGAAGCUGCACUUAGAACUAGAUAUGGAACAACUGAUUGGUUCAAAAUUGGGAAAGGAGUACGAUAAGGCGGUAUAUUGUGAGCAAUUAAAGAACCUCUUAAUGAGGGUGAAAGAGGAGGGAGCAAAAUAUGGUCUUAAGCUCAGCAUAUAAAAAAAAACUAAUAUCACGGCCACUGAUCCCACCACCUCCUGGCAAACAGAAGGGGAAGAAAUGGAGGCAGUGAGAGAUUUUACAUUCUUGGGAUCCAUGAUCACUGCAGAUGGUGACAGCAGUCACGAAAUUAAAAGACCCCUGCUUCUUGGGCGAAAAGCAAUGACAAACAUAGAUGGCAUCUCAAAAAGCAGAGACAUCACUUUGCCGACAAAGGUCUGUAUAGUUAAAGCUAUGGUUUUCCCAGUAGUGAUGUAUGGAAGUGAGAGCUGGACCAUAAAGAAGGCUGAACGCCAAAGAAUUGAUGCUUUUGAAUUAUGGUGCUGGAGGAGACUCUUGAGAGUCCCAUGGACUGCAAGAAGAUCAAACCUAUCCAUUCUGAAGGAAAUCAGCCCUGAAUGCUCACUGGCCAGUGGAAGGACAGAUCUUGAAGCUGAGGCUCCAGUACUUUGGCCACCUCAUAAGAAGAGAAGACUCCCUGGAAAAGACCCUGAUGUUGGGAAAGAUGGAGGGCACAAGGAGAAGGGGACGACAGAGGAUGAGAUGGUUGGACAGUGUUCUCAAAGCUACUAACAUGAGUUUGACCAGGCAGUGGAAGACAGGAGUGCCUGGCGUGCUCUGGUUCAUGGGGUCACAAAGAGUCAGACGCGACUAAACAACAACAUUGUGCUCUACACAGGGUUUUCCUCAAACACAGUCUAGAAGUUGCAGCUAGUGCUAGUGUUGAGUCUGAUACAUAGGGACCAUAUUGCACCAGCUCUUAAAGAGAAGUACUGGCUCCCAAUGAACUACCAAGCCCAACCCAAGGUUUUGGUCUUGGUGUGCAAAGCCCUAAGUGGCUUGGGACUCAAUUCUUUGAAGAAUCACCCUCCCUCCAUAUCAAUUUACCCAUGACCUUAGCUCUACAAGGGAGGUCCUGUUGAAUUCCAGCUUUCCGGAAGCUCAGGGGGGUCUGUGACCUGCUGCUGAAGGGUUUUCUCAUUAAUAGCAGCCCAGUUUUGGAAUGCAUCCUCCCUGGAGGUUUGGCUGGUGCCAACACUGUUUAGUUUUAGGCACCAGCUGAAAAUCUGCCUCUUCCAUCUUUUUAAUGCAGAGGGUUUCCUGAACUGCAGAAAAUUGGUAAGAUGCUCUAUUACUAUAUUGCCAAUUUAAAGUUUUUUUCUUUUAUAAAUAUUACAUAUUUAUCCCUGCAACCCACCCAUUCCAAGGUAAAGUGUGGGAUAUAAGUUUUAAAAGGAAAUAAAUAGAUAUGCUGCUGACUGUUCUAUAGUUUCUGUGUAGCUGCUCUGUCGCUGGCCUCAGUCAGCCUUGAUAACUCAAUGCUGAGGGAAGCCAUUAAGCAAGUCAGUCUGAAGGACUUUGAGAGUUAAAAUGUCAGAAUUCAUUUAAACCAUUAUGCAUUUGCAUGCCUCAGCAAUGAAAACAAUGUAGGCCCUGGUGGAUUCAAAGCAAGACACUGGCCACAAAUCCCCCUUUUCAUUUUUCAGUCUUUUUCUCCCUUUAAAAUUGGAUUUUCUUGUUUGGGUUAGUUAAGUGUGGUGCCGCAGACUUGUUGCAGAACUGUUGUGAAAUAUUAGUUUUGUAUUUCUAUAGUCUUCAGCCACUUGCACUAACCUGUUUCAGAUUGGGGAGUGAGUUGUAGCAAUGAUUGAUAACACUUGUGAAGUGAAUGAACAAUAACUCCAUUCCAUAGGUUUUAUUAUUUUUCCUUUCUUUUGAUUUGAUUUGAUUUUCUAAAGUAUAGACCUUUUAUUGCUUGCUUGCUUGCUAGCUGUCUGCUGCUAAAGAGCAGAAUCCAGCAAACAUAUAUCAUAUUGAAAUCAAUUUGAUAUGUGCUUUUAUCCCUAAUCAUUGAAGAACCCCACACACUUGUAAUUAAGGCUGCGGUCUGCUGUACAUUUACUUUGGCGUAAGCCCCUUGAACUUAGCAGGACUUAUUUCAGAGAGUAAAUGUGAACAGGAUUAUGUUGCAUGUUCUACAGACUGCUUUCAUUUGAGUAAAAAUUGUGGAUACACAAAUUACUUGGUCAUAAGAACAUAAAAAGAACCUGCAUUAGGCCAAAGGCGUAUCUAGUCUAGCAUCCUGUUCUCAAAGUGGCCAACCAGAUGCUCACAAAAAGCCCAAACACAGGACAUGAGUGCAGCAGCACUCUCCCCAUCAGUGAUUCCCAGCAAUUGGCAUUCUGCGGCAUACUGCCUCUGACUGGAGGUAGAACAUACCCAUUGUGACAAGUUGCCAUUGAUAGCCUUUCACACAGUAUUUAGUUUCUGGGAGCAAGAGAGAUAACAGGAACAAAAAGAAAGGCUUGUUGCACAUGUAAAAUAAGAUUAUUGCCCUCCCUUUCCAGGUAAACUGUUGUUACUUUUAAGAGGCGUGGGAAUUGUUAUAUUGGUUGCUUCUCCUUCAAAAGGAAGACUUAAAGGAGAGAUUGAUGAGUUAUUUGCAGAGUGCUCCUAGUGAGCAUUCAGAACUUCCUCCUGAGCGCUACUGCUUUUGGGCAUCUCAUUUUCUAGGAGAGGUUUUUAUUUCCCCUUUUAAGAAUGCAAUGAUUUUUUAAUAUUAAAAAACCCUGUUUUUUCUUCUUCUGAGAAGGUAGAUCCCACUUGGCCAGAUGCAGCUCAAGUUAAGUAGAUGUGUAAGAACUUUUCUUCUGAAAUGUUCCAUUUUUUCCUUAAACUUUUUACUAUUUUCAAGCCUGUAAACUCUGGUUGCCUUUAAAAAGCCUGAUUUUAACUUGUCUAAUUCUUACAAGACUGUGUCUGGGAGAUGGAUUCCAUGCUCAAACUGUACCAAUGGAUUCAGGUUACUGAAGUUCAAAUCUCCCUAUAUUAAAGGGGCCUCUGGUUUUUUCUGGACACCCCAUGAACCUUGGGGUCCAGUUGGCUCUUUGCACAUCAGGUUUCCUACCAGCUUUGGUGUAAAUGGUAGAUGAUGGCAGCUGUUGAGGUACCGGGAGUUUGGGGGUCUUUUAUUAUGCCUAGGUUCCCUGAUCCCUGGGUUUUGCUUCCCUCCACAAAGCCUAUGAAAUAUGAUCAGUUAUUUCCAUUCAUCUGGGACCUGAUAUUGCAGAACGUCUUUGUUGCAAAUGACUCAGUUACCCACCCCCAUGUUUGCCAUAGGCUCAGCUUCUCUGAGGUCACAGCUUGCCAUUUUAUAGACAGCCUUGAACCACAGCAUAAGUGCAUAAGAAGAGGCCAGCGACUCAUCUACUCCAGCAUCCUGUUCCUAAGUGGUCCAACCCAUGGGAAGCAUGCAAACAGAAUCUGAGCACAACAACAUUCUCCCCUCCUGUAGUUUCCAGCAACUUGUAUUCAGUAUUCAUCUCUAGUGGGCCAGACAUGCAUCCAGUGACAUUUCCUUUGAGAUGACCAUAGUCGGAAAGAAAUGUGUCCUUGGCUCACCUUAGUCUGCAGACAUUCAUAUACUUCAGAUUUGUCAAGUGUGUGUGUGUGUGUGUGUGUGUGUGUGUGUUGUUUGCUACCAAAGUUGUCUCCCCAAAUCAUCUCCAAUCUUCUUCCUCCUCCUCCUUUAUCAGUAGGAGCACACAGACAGAUAACAUCCUUGUGAUGUGACCCUGACCUUUGUCAACCUUUGUUAAGACUUCAUCUGAAGUCAGGCCUAAUGUUUGUAAACAGGAUGUAAUUAAGGCUGGGAACUGACAGAGCCUGACAGUAAGACAAUGCCAAGCUGGCAGAGAAUGGUCUGUCAGAUGUCAGCUCUCAUUGUGUUCUAAGUGCCUUCAUAAUAAUUAGAGCCCUCUGUAUUAAGGAAGUUCACUCAACUUGGAUUAAUCUGUCACAGUGUGGAGGCCAUCCUUCGGAGUGCAAGUGUUUCCUCUGAUAAACCUUAAAACGAGCCUGGGC